AGGAGUAGAGGAUGAAUCCAUAUUGUGCUCUGACAGAGAAGAAUAUCAAGUAAUCCCAGGAGCACAGAACACAGUGACUUAGCACUGCAGAGGAAUAUUCCAUGCUGUCUCCAGCAAGAUCAUUCAAAAUGUCACUGAGAGAAAAUCCUUAGAAAUACUAAUAGAGAGAGCCACUGGAGCAAUGGAGGUAUAAUCAGGCCAUCCCUCAAUCCCAGGGGAACUUUGCAUCUUCUUUCCCGUAUCCUUCUCUUCCUCUUCCAUUGUGUUCUGUGGACGUGAAUAAGGAAGGAUUAGUUGGAGAGGGUGAGUUUCCUUGCCUGGUCUCCGAAUUUCCCCGCUUCACACCCACUGACUGGUUCAAUCAGGGGAAGUAAAUGUUAAGGGGGAAGUCUCUCCAAGGUCCACUCUCUACAGUUGAGAUUCCCUGAGGGGGAGGAAGAGUGGUCCAUGGCAAAAGCCCAGACCUGGGAGGCAGGAAAUGUGGGUUCUGAUCAUGCUGAGCCUUAGACUUCCUGUGCCUGAGACUUCACCUCUCUGUUAGAUUCCCCACCUGCAAAAUGGUAAUAGUAGUUACGUCCCUCAGGGUUAGAGGUGAGGCUGUUCUUUGAGACUGUGGGGUAGAAGGUGCUAUGGGAAUACAAAGCAUGCCUACAUUCAAGCUGUUCAAGGUAGCUGAGGCAUGUAGGCUCUACCCACCCACCAGAGACUUUCAUCAUCAUUGGUAUCAUCUGAUUGGCCGUUUUUGUCUCAUUAUGAGACUGGCUGUUUGGGGGGAUGUCACGGUGGAUGGAGCAGUCUGGGGCAUGUGGAGAGAUUACAAGAGGCAGGGGAAAGGGGUACUAUAAACAAGAAUAAUACCAUGUACCUAACGCCACCUCAAACAUUUUCUUUGCAUGUUGUCUGUCUACUUCGUCACAUCU